GCCUAGUUAGCUUAGUUGGUAGUGCGUCUGCCUUGUAAGCACUAGGUCAAGGGUUCGAUUCCCGCCCGGGGCG
rnacentral:tRNA from 1 species